GUGUAUGGAAUGUCAAAUUUCUAGUAUGAGAAAUUAACGAUUUAAGUCCUUCUUAAAUGAGGCCAUUUACCCAUAGAGGGUGCCAGGCCCGUAUAACGUUAAUGAUUACUAGAUGGCAUUUCCAAAGAGUCGUGUUGCUUGAUAGUGCAGCACUAAGUGGGUGGUAAACUCCAUCUAAAACUAAAUAUAACCAUGAGACCGAUAGUAAACAAGUACCGUGAGGGAAAGUUGAAAAGAACUCUGAAUAGAGAGUUAAAUAGUACGUGAAACUGCUUAGAGGUUAAGCCCGAUGAACCUGAAUAUCCAUUAUAGAAAAUUCAUCAUUAUGAUUUUAAUAUUUAUAAUAUUAUAAUAAUGGUGUGCAUUUUUUCUAUAACGGACAUUGUAAUCUAUUAACAUAAAUAUAUUUAUCAUAAGAUCAAUGAUGCGUAAGUUUAUUCAAAUUAUUUUGCUUGCAAUUUAACAUAGAAUAAAUGCUCUUGAUUUGAUAAAGUGUUGAUAGAUUUAUUGUAUAUAGUGCUUAAAUAUUUAUAUUUUAUAAUAGCAUAUUAAUCAUUGAUUUUUAUGUUUAUUAUAUGCACUUAUAUGAUUAACAAUGCGAAAGAUUCAGGAUACCUUCGGGACCCGUCUUGAAACACGG
rnacentral:rRNA from 1 species